rnacentral:rRNA from 1 species
UACGGAGGGGGCUAGCGUUGUUCGGAAUUACUGGGCGUAAAGCGCGCGUAGGCGGAUCUGCAAGUCGGGGGUGAAAUCCCGAGGCUCAACCUCGGAACUGCCUUCGAUACUGCGGGUCUCGAGUCCGGGAGAGGUGAGUGGAAUUCCUAGUGUAGAGGUGAAAUUCGUAGAUAUCAGGAGGAACACCAAUUGCGAAGGCAGCUCGCUGGGACGUUACGUGACGCUG